rnacentral:rRNA from 1 species
AGCGGCGGAUGGGUGAGUAACACGUGGGGAACCUGCCCCUAAGUCUGGGAUACCAUUUGGAAACAGGUGCCAAUACCGGAUAAUAAAGCAGAUCGCAUGAUCAGCUUUUGAAAGGCGGCGUAAGCUGUCGCUAAGGGAUGGCCCCGCGGUGCAUUAGCUAGUUGGCAAGGUAACGGCUUACCAAGGCGACGAUGCAUAGCCGAGUUGAGAGACUGAUCGGCCACAUUGGGACUGAGACACGGCCCAAACUCCUACGGGAGGCAGCAGUAGGGAAUCUUCCACAAUGGACGCAAGUCUGAUGGAGCAACGCCGCGUGAGUGAAGAAGGUUUUCGGAUCGUAAAGCUCUGUUGUUGGUGAAGAAGGAUAGAGGUAGUAACUGGCCUUUAUUUGACGGUAAUCAACCAGAAAGUCACGGCUAACUACGUGCCAGCAGCCGCGGUAAUACGUAGGUGGCAAGCGUUGUCCGGAUUUACUGGGCGUAAAGCGAGCGCAGGCGGAAAAAUAAGUCUAAUGUGAAAGCCCUCGGCUUAACCGAGGAACUGCAUCGGAAACUGUUUUUCUUGAGUGCAGAAGAGGAGAGUGGAACUCCAUGUGUAGCGGUGGAAUGCGUAGAUAUAUGGAAGAACACCAGUGGCGAAGGCGGCUCUCUGGUCUGCAACUGACGCUGAGGCUCGAAAGCAUGGGUAGCGAACAGGAUUAGAUACCCUGGUAGUCCAUGCCGUAAACGAUGAGUGCUAAGUGU